rnacentral:rRNA from 1 species
CUGCGAUAAGCGCCGGUAAGGUGAUAUGAACCGUUAUAACCGGCGAUACCCGAAUGGGGAAACCCAGUGUGACUCGUCACACUAUCAUUAACUGAAUCCAUAGGUUAAUGAGGCGAACCGGGGGAACUGAAACAUCUAAGUACCCCGAGGAAAAGAAAUCAACCGAGAUUCCCCCAGUAGCGGCGAGCGAACGGGGAGGAGCCCAGAGCCUGAAUCAGCAUGUGUGUUAGUGGAAGCGUCUGGAAAGGCGCGCGAUACAGGGUGACAGCCCCGUACACAAAAGCGCAUGUGCUGUGAGCUCGAUGAGUAGGGCGGGACACGUGGUAUCCUGUCUGAAUAUGGGGGGACCAUCCUCCAAGGCUAAAUACUCCUGACUGACCGAUAGUGAACCAGUACCGUGAGGGAAAGGCGAAAAGAACCCCGGCGAGGGGAGUGAAAAAGAACCUGAAACCGUGUACGUACAAGCAGUGGGAGCACCCUUUGGGUGUGACUGCGUACCUUUUGUAUAAUGGGUCAGCGACUUAUAUUCUGUAGCAAGGUUAACCGAAUAGGGGAGCCGGAGGGAAACCGAGUCUUAACCGGGCGUUAAGUUGCAGGGUAUAGACCCGAAACCCGGUGAUCUAGCCAUGGGCAGGUUGAAGGUUGGGUAACACUAACUGGAGGACCGAACCGACUAAUGUUGAAAAAUUAGCGGAUGACCUGUGGCUGGGGGUGAAAGGCCAAUCAAACCGGGAGAUAGCUGGUUCUCCCCGAAAGCUAUUUAGGUAGCGCCUCGUGAAUUCAUCUCCGGGGGUAGAGCACUGUUUCGGCUAGGGGGCCAUCCCGGCUUACCAACCCGAUGCAAACUGCGAAUACCGGAGAAUGUUAUCACGGGAGACACACGGCGGGUGCUAACGUCCGUCGUGAAGAGGGAAACAACCCAGACCGCCAGCUAAGGUCCCAAAGUCAUGGUUAAGUGGGAAACGAUGUGGGAAGGCCCAGACAGCCAGGAUGUUGGCUUAGAAGCAGCCAUCAUUUAAAGAAAGCGUAAUAGCUCACUGGUCGAGUCGGCCUGCGCGGAAGAUGUAACGGGGCUAAACCAUGCACCGAAGCUGCGGCAGCGACACUGUGUGUUGUUGGGUAGGGGAGCGUUCUGUAAGCCUGUGAAGGUGUGUCGUGAGGC